rnacentral:tRNA from 1 species
GGUGACUCAGUGGUAGAGUGCUUGCCUUGCAUGCAUGAGGCCUGGGUUCAAUUCCUCAGCACCA